rnacentral:misc_RNA from 1 species
AUGAAAAUGGGCACCCCAUUCUAAAACAAAACUUUUAACCAAAUCCCAUUGUUCCUCCUCACUGAACUUCUUCCAUUUCUUCUUCAUUUCCUCCGAUUUCAAUCCCGUGUAGUGGCAAAACUCAACGAACAAAAGCUCUUUGCUUUUCUUCAACGCUUCCUCUUUCUGUAUCAUCUGGGUGUUCAUCUUUCCAACCUCUGUUGCAAAAUCUGAUGCCAGGUCAAUAUCGUUCAUGUCGUCGUCGUUGUUGGUGCACGAGACUUUGUGAAACUUGGGAUGAU